rnacentral:lncRNA from 1 species
GCCGGACGCCCAGGGGAGGGGUGCAGCUGGUAGGGCCCGAACACACUGGUGGUAACCCGAGGACUAGGCGACUUGCCAAUUCUAAAGAACGCUGCUUUUCCUGUGCCCAGUUCCCUCACUCUUACUGGACUUGAACGAAUGAGAACAUCAUCGAGCACCAAAUAAUAAUGAUUUAAAAAUCAUGGGAACAAACAGUGAUAAAAAUGAUACUAUUUGUGGAGGAUCUGUGGGUCUGUUUUUUUUACAAGGAGUAUUUCAUUUGAUUCUCAUCUGAUUUUGUAAGGAAAUUACAAUUACUGUGUUUCUAGCCGGGCAAUGAUCUGCAGGACGUGAGAACUUGUUAGAAAUGCUAAUUCUCAGCCCAUCCAGCCUCCACUGACUUAUAUAUGCUGGGAGGCAAAGUCAAGCCCUUGGUGUUUAACAAGCCCUCCUUGGGGGGGCUGACGCAUGUUCAAGUUUGAGAACCACUGUUUUCAGUACUGCUUUGUAUCCCCGAGUGUGAACUUGAGCGGUUCCCCGUGGCAACUGCUCAAUAACAUACCUUUCUGGGGCCUCCUUCCUUUCCUUGUUUCACAUCUUUACUCUUCAGCUGGGCCUUCCUGGGAUCACCUCCAAACAACUACUUGCAUUUGAAUCCUUGCCUCAAGUCUGCUUCCAGAGAACACCAUCUGAGAGAUCUGCAGGGGAAGUGUGGUUGCCCAGAGAGGAGGAGGAAAGUGGCUGCAUGGCAUGUUUCAACAGACCCAUCAGGAGACCUGAUAAAACCCUAAAAGAAGAAUAUUUGCAUGAAAUGAGAAAUAGUUACCAAGGAAAACCGUAAAUAAGCCUUCUAGCCUCACUUGCUCUUAACAUAAAAAGUCAUUUUGGAGGCCACACAGUUGGGCAAUACAAGGUUAGCUUCCCACUAGUUUUGCUGUAAAAUGACACCUGUGACAUGGGGGUUGUGAUAACAGUUGCCUAGGUUACUUCCCAGGGACCUGAAGGCCACUUUUGCUGAAAACAUUGACCCUUCCCUUGAGCCUAGAGAUCUGAUGGGUGACUAAAAUGGAAUACAAAGUGUGGCAUCUGCCUCACAUUGUGUCUGUCCCCUUUGGUGCCUCAGCCCUUGGAUCAGAUUCUACCCAGCUCUGUACCUAGACAUGUUCAUCAUUUUAAAAUGUUA